GAUACUUCAAUUGUUCUUCCUUAUUCUCCAGGUGGACGUCUGAUUGCUGAUAUUUCAACUGUUUUUCUUUGUUCUUCAGGUGGACCGCCUGAUUGCUAGUAUUUGGUCAUGCUCUUAUCUUUAACAUCCGUGUUGUUCUCCCUGUUCUUCAUAUGAGUACCUGAUUUCAACAAAAAUAGACAAAACAAAAGAAAUUUUCUGCCCCA